AGAAGAAGAGUCUGCUGUAGAGAACCUGGUGAAAAUCAUCAGCUCCCCGUUUCUCCCACUGACCUCAGAGAACACCUCGCUUCUUUGGCUGAAGCAUAUAAUUUCCUACCUAGGACUUGAGUGGUGCCUCAGUCCUCACCAGCAAGAACAAGACAAGAGUGGCUCCUAGGACAUAUCUGAAUCCACAGGAAGAGACUGAGGUGCAAAGACUUGCUUGGCCUCCAUCCGGUGCCCUGAUUGCUUUUGAACUUUCUCCAGUCAAAGGU